rnacentral:rRNA from 1 species
UACGUAGGGUGCAAGCGUUAAUCGGAAUUACUGGGCGUAAAGCGUGCGCAGGCGGUUUUGUAAGUCUGACGUGAAAUCCCCGGGCUCAACCUGGGAAUUGCGUUGGAGACUGCAAGGCUGGAGUCUGGCAGAGGGGGGUAGAAUUCCACGUGUAGCAGUGAAAUGCGUAGAGAUGUGGAGGAACACCGAUGGCGAAGGCAGCCCCCUGGGUCAAGACUGACGCUCAUGCACAAAAGCGUGGGGAGCAAACAGG